rnacentral:rRNA from 1 species
GUCAGCAGCCGCGGUAAUACCGGCAGCCCAAGUGAUGGCCGAUCUUAUUGGGCCUAAAGCGUCCGUAGCUGGCCACGCAAGUCCAUCGGGAAAUCCACCUGCCCAACAGGUGGGCGCCCGGUAGAAACUGCGUGGCUUGGGACCGGAAGGCGCGACGGGUACGUCCGGGGUAGGAGUGAAAUCCCGUAAUCCUGGACGGACCGCCGAUGGCGAAAGCACGUCGCGAGAACGGAUCCGACAGUGAGGGACGAAAGCCAGGGUCUCGAACCGGAUUAGAUACCCCAGUAGUCC